UACGGAGGUGGCAAGCGUUGUCCGAUGUUAUUGGGCGUAAAGAGUUCUGUAGGCUGAAAUAUAAGUUAUAUGUUAAAUACCCCGGCUUAACCGGGGAUAUGCAUGUAAUACUGUAUUUCUAGAGCAAGAUAGGGGCUAGCGGAACGUACGGUGUAGUAGUGAAAUGCGUUGAUAUCGUACGGAACACCAAAGGCGAAGGCAGCUAGCUGGAUCUUUGCUGACGCUAAGAGACGAAAGCGUGGGUAGCAAAAGGG
rnacentral:misc_RNA from 1 species